rnacentral:rRNA from 1 species
AUUGAACGCUGGCGGCAUGCUUUACACAUGCAAGUCGAACGGUAACAGGCCGCGAGGUGCUGACGAGUGGCGAACGGGUGAGUAAUGCAUCGGAACGUGCCCAGUCGUGGGGGAUAACGCAGCGAAAGCUGCGCUAAUACCGCAUACGAUCUAUGGAUGAAAGCGGGGGACCGUAAGGCCUCGCGCGAUUGGAGCGGCCGAUGUCAGAUUAGGUAGUUGGUGGGGUAAAGGCUUACCAAGCCGACGAUCUGUAGCUGGUCUGAGAGGACGACCAGCCACACUGGGACUGAGACACGGCCCAGACUCCUACGGGAGGCAGCAGUGGGGAAUUUUGGACAAUGGGCGCAAGCCUGAUCCAGCAAUGCCGCGUGCAGGAAGAAGGCCUUCGGGUUGUAAACUGCUUUUGUACGGAACGAAACGGUCCUGGUUAAUACCUGGGGCUAAUGACGGUACCGUAAGAAUGAGCACCGGCUAACUACGUGCCAGCAGCCGCAGUAAUAC